UAGUGGCGAACGGGUGAGUAACACGUGGGCAAUCUGCCCUUCACUCUGGGACAAGCCCUGGAAACGGGGUCUAAUACCGGAUAACACUUCCUGCCGCAUGGUGGGGGGUUAAAAGCUCCGGCGGUGAAGGAUGAGCCCGCGGCCUAUCAGCUUGUUGGUGGGGUGAUGGCCUACCAAGGCGACGACGGGUAGCCGGCCUGAGAGGGCGACCGGCCACACUGGGACUGAGACACGGCCCAGACUCCUACGGGAGGCAGCAGUGGGGAAUAUUGCACAAUGGGCGAAAGCCUGAUGCAGCGACGCCGCGUGAGGGAUGACGGCCUUCGGGUUGUAAACCUCUUUCAGCAGGGAAGAAGCGAAAGUGACGGUACCUGCAGAAGAAGCGCCGGCUAACUACGUGCCAGCAGCCGCGNUAAUACGUAGGGCGCAAGCNGUUGNCCGGAAUUAUUGGNCGUAAAGAGCUCGUAGGCGGNUUGUCACGUCGGAUGU
rnacentral:rRNA from 1 species